rnacentral:rRNA from 1 species
GACGAACGCUGGCGGCGUGCUUAACACAUGCAAGUCGAGCGGUAAGGCCCUUUCGGGGGUACGACGAGCGGCGAACGGGUGAGUAACACGUGGGCGACCUGCCCUCAGCUCUGGGAUAAGCCUGGGAAACUGGGUCUAAUACCGGAUAUGACUCCAUGACGCAUGUUGUGGGGUGGAAAGCCUUGUGCGGCUGAGGAUGGGCCCGCGGCCUAUCAGCUUGUUGGUGGGGUGANGGCCUACCAAGGCGACGACGGGUAGCCGGCCUGAGAGGGCGACCGGCCACACUGGGACUGAGACACGGCCCAGACUCCUACGGGAGGCAGCAGUGGGGAAUCUUGCGCAAUGGGCGAAAGCCUGACGCAGCGACGCCGCGUGAGGGAUGACGGCCUCGGUUGU